AUUGAACGCUGGCGGCAGGCCUAACACAUGCAAGUCGAGCGGAUGAGUGGAGCUUGCUCCAUGAUUCAGCGGCGGACGGGUGAGUAAUGCCUAGGAAUCUGCCUGGUAGUGGGGGACAACGUUUCGAAAGGAACGCUAAUACCGCAUACGUCCUACGGGAGAAAGUGGGGGAUCUUCGGACCUCACGCUAUCAGAUGAGCCUAGGUCGGAUUAGCUAGUUGGUGAGGUAAAGGCUCACCAAGGCGACGAUCCGUAACUGGUCUGAGAGGAUGAUCAGGCACACUGGAACUGAGACACGGGCCAGACUCCUACGGGAGGCAGCAGUGGGGAAUAUUGGACAAUGGGCGAAAGCCUGAUCCAGCCAUGCCGCGUGUGUGAAGAAGGUCUUCGGAUUGUAAAGCACUUUAAGUUGGGAGGAAGGGCAGUAAGUUAAUACCUUGCUGUUUUGACGUUACCAACAGAAUAAGCACCGGCUAACUUCGUGCCAGCCGCCGCAGUAACAC
rnacentral:rRNA from 1 species